AUUGAACGCUGGCGGCAGGCCUAACACAUGCAAGUCGAACGAGUGGCGGACGGGUGAGUAAUGUCUGGGAAACUGCCCGCUGUCGGGGGAUAACUACUGGAAACGGUAGCUAAUACCGCAUACCAUCAGAUGUACCCAGAUGGGAUUAGCUAGUUGGUGGGGUAACGGCUCACCAAGGCGACGAUCCCUAGCUGGGCUGAGAGGAUGAUCAGCCACACUGGAACUGAGACACGGUCCAGACUCCUACGGGAGGCAGCAGUGGGGAAUAUUGCACAAUGGGCGCAAGCCUGAUGCAGCCAUGCCGCGUGUAUGAAGAAGGCCUUAGGGUUGUAAAGUACUUUCAGCGGGGAGGCGUUACCCGCAGAAGAAGCACCGGCUAACUCCGUGCCAGCAGCCGCGGUAAUUC
rnacentral:rRNA from 1 species